UACGAAGGGGGCAAGCGUUGUCCGGAUUUAUUGGGCGUAAAGAGCGUGUAGGCGGCCUGACAGGUCUGCUGUGAAAACUCGAGGCUCAACCUCGAGAUGUCGGCGGAAACCGUCUGGCUAGAGUCCGGAAGAGGAGAGUGGAAUUCCUGGUGUAGCGGUGAAAUGCGCAGAUAUCAGGAAGAACACCUAUGGCGAAGGCAGCUCUCUGGGACGGUACUGACGCUGAGACGCGAAAGCGUGGGGAGCGAACAAG
rnacentral:rRNA from 1 species